AUUGAACGCUAGCGGGAUGCUUUACACAUGCAAGUCGAACGGAGUGGCGGACGGGUGAGUAAUAUAUCGGAACGUGCCCAGUAGCGGGGGAUAACUACUCGAAAGUGUGGCUAAUACCGCAUACGAUUGGAGCGGCCGAUAUCGGAUUAGCUAUUUGGGGGGGUAAAGGCUCACCAAGGCUACGAUCCGUAGCUGGUUUGAGAGGACGACCAACCACACUGGGAAUGAGAAACGGCCCAGACUCCUACGGGAGGCAGCAGUGGGGAAUUUUGGACGAUGGGGGAAACCCUGAUCCAGCCAUCCCGCGUGUAUGAUGAAGGCCUUCGGGUUGUAAAGUACUUUUGGCAGGGAAGCGGUAUCUGCAGAAUAAGCACCGGCUAACUACGUGCCAGCAGCCGCGGUAAUUC
rnacentral:rRNA from 1 species